rnacentral:rRNA from 1 species
CCCUUAGAUGUUCUGGGCCGCACACGCGCUACACUGACGAAUGCAACGAGCUUAUAACCUUGGCCGAAAGGUCUGGGUAAUCUCCAAAUUUCGUCGUGAUGGGGAUAGAUUAUUGCAAUUAUUAAUCUUCAACGAGGAAUGCCUAGUAAGCGCAAGUCAUCAGCUUGCGUUGAUUACGUCCCUGCCCUUUGUACACACCGCCCGUCGCUCCUACCGAUUGAAUGGUCCGGUGAAGCGCUCGGACCGCGGCCUCUUGACGGUUUUCCGUCGAUUGGCUGUGGGAAGUUCGUUAAACCUUAUCAUUUAGAGGAAGGAGAAGUCGUAACA